rnacentral:rRNA from 1 species
UACGGAGGGUGCAAGCGUUAUCCGGAUUCACUGGGUUUAAAGGGUGCGUAGGUGGGCAGGUAAGUCAGUGGUGAAAUCUCCGAGCUUAACUCGGAAACUGCCGUUGAUACUAUUUGUCUUGAAUAUUGUGGAGGUAAGCGGAAUAUGUCAUGUAGCGGUGAAAUGCUUAGAUAUGACAUAGAACACCAAUUGCGAAGGCAGCUUACUGGACAACGAUUGACGCUGAGGCACGAAAGCGUGGGGAUCAAACAGG